AGAGAGGACAGAAAUCUUACCAGACAACCCCCGGACAACAGGAUCAGAAGUACUGAUGCACACACAUAAGAAAAAAGAAAGAAUAAGUAAAAGGACCAUUACAAGGUUUACCUUCAGAGGAAACUAGUCCUCCAGACAAGAGAGUGCAGGAAUAUACCACAUCUGCAGCUGGAGGACCAGGACUGUGAGUGAUCUGGUGACUUAUCUACUCAUGAGCUUUCCAGCCUCCCAGAUAUGAAAAAAAAAUUUGUAUUACUGGGAGAAGGGACAAUACAGAGCAAAGUAGCACAUGAUACCAACUUCAGUUUGAUGUAGGCUUUGCUCAUAGCUUUGAAUGCCUGAAAAAGCAUCCGACAGACACAUAAGAAGAAAGGAGGAUGAGGCUGAAUAUUCCCAGUGUGCUUGGGACUAUCACAAACUGCACUAUCACAAACAGGCAAAGGAGGUGAAGGGACCGAUGUGAUAAAUUGAUGAGAAUUUCUAAAAACACCACAGUGCACCAUAAAGAAAACAACAAGGAAGACAAGAUACAAGUAGAGAAGUACUCUUACGUUUUCUCAGACUUGUUCUGUGAGAGAAAGCUCUUUAUUAAAAAGUGGUGAUCUGAGAAAGGUGUUGAAAUUGCAAGCAAGAAAACUGCCUCUGGCUUUUCAUUGUUGCUAUGUUGAGAGAAAAAUGACUUUGUCCUCACUUUUUGUAAAUAAAAAGGACAGUAUCAAAGGUACCUGGCUCCACCCACUCCUUCUCUUGACAGAAAUAAGCCGCAGGACCCCAGACAUUUUGUAAAUGCAGGAAUCAACAAGGGCAGCAAUAUUUAUGCCUCCUCCCUUGGUAUCUGUUUGCAUUACUGAUAACUUUUUCUACAUUCUGUCCUUGAAAGAAAUGUUAAUGUCUUAAAACAAAGAAUGUUAGAUCAUCCAGCUGCUGAUAUUUAAACUGGGAUUAUUUUGUAUCAUAAAAAGCCAGUUCCUUCACAACACUUCUCUUGUCUUGUGUUUGCAUCUCCAAGAAGACGGAAUGUCUUGGUAAGGACUCCUAUGAAAAGCUCAAGUAUGUUUUGCUUUUAAAAUUUAAGACUCCUCCCAAAUAUUCAAGGGGAAGAAAUAUGGCUGCAGAAACACCUAAAUGACAGAAUUACAAAUUAACAGAGUAAUGUGGGGUUAGAACUGUUAUAAAAUACUGUCAAUGUUUUCUCAACUACUAGUCAGAUAAAGAGCAAAAUAUUUUGAAAAAGAAAUAAAAGCAUUCUGCUGCAAGCUUAAAAAGGAGAGGCACAACUUUAGUAAAAAAGUGUCAAUUUCUAUUAUUAUAGAAUUGUAUAUGGAAAGAUUUAUAAUUCCUAAUAAUGUCAUUAAAUCCUAUUAAUAGAUUAUUAACUGCAACAAAUAAUGUGUAGAAUAUACAUCAUUCCUAUGAGAACACUCUUUUGUUAGAAUAUGUGUCACAUUACUUUGAGACUACCUUGAAGGAGUUUCCAAAUUUCCCUUAGUUUUCUGGAGAUGAGUUGGCAUCUUUACAAAGCAUUUCUGGUCUCCAUCAUUGUUUUUUUACUCCUUGAUCUAAUUUGGUUGGGGUAUUGAUUUGUAGCUGGGUGGUAGCUAUUCAGAUUUUGAAUUGCCAACCAGACAUGAUCCAAGCAUAUAAAGUAUCAUGUGUUAUCCUGCCUCACACUGCAUUAUUCUGGUCUAAUGAAUGGCUUUGUUGAAAUCUACUAUAAUGUGGAUACUAGGACAUAUACUGCUGCCCAUGUAUUUGGUGAGAUGUUCUUCACUUCCACUAGUAUUAAUCCAAAGCAUGUGUAUUAGGGAAGAAUACACCUUUGCCUUAUUCAAGCUUUAAUUUGGAAUUUGUAAUUGAAAAGUACUUAGUCAUUAAAUACAAAAUUCCUCAGUUUAUGAAGCAUUGUUAUUCUUAUUUAGAGGGGGAAAAAAAAGGAACGUAAGAUGUACUUGUUCUAUGAUUGGACUCCUUUUCUAGUAUUUAUUUUUCUGAGACACUUUUGUUUUCCUUGACUUCUUGUUCUGUUAUCAAAAGUGUAUGAUAAUCUCACUUUGCUCUCCUACUGCUUCUGUUUUCAAGUGGCUGCUGUUGUAAGCAGCCUGCCUGCUGAGACAUAGUUUAUUUAACAUCUGAAGCUAUCUUAGGGACUCAACUUCUCUACUGAAUACAAACAAUUGUGGAUAGGCCAAUGGAUAUGGAUGAAUUAAACCCAAUGCAAACCUUCAGAUGAAAAAGAGUGUGCUUUUUUGUUUGUUUGCUUGCUUGCU